rnacentral:rRNA from 1 species
GACGAACGCUGGCGGCGUGCCUAAUACAUGCAAGUAGAACGCUGAAGGAGGAGCUUGCUCUUCUGGAUGAGUUGCGAACGUGUGAGUAACGCGUAGGUAACCUGCCUGGUAGCGGGGGAUAACUAUUGGAAACGAUAGCUAAUACCGCAUAAGAGUAGAUGUUGCAUGACAUUUGCUUAAAAGGUGCAAUUGCAUCACUACCAGAUGGACCUGCGUUGUAUUAGCUAGUUGGUGGGGUAACGGCUCACCAAGGCGACGAUACAUAGCCGACCUGAGAGGGUGAUCGGCCACACUGGGACUGAGACACGGCCCAGACUCCUACGGGAGGCAGCAGUAGGGAAUCUUCGGCAAUGGACGGAAGUCUGACUGAGCAACGCCGCGUGAGUGAAGAAGGUUUUCGGAUCGUAAAGCUCUGUUGUAAGAGAAGAACGAGUGUGAGAGUGGAAAGUUCACACUGUGACGGUAUCUUACCAGAAAGAGACGGCUAACUACGUG